rnacentral:rRNA from 1 species
UACAGAGGUCUCAAGCGUUGUUCGGAUUCAUUGGGCGUAAAGGGUGCGUAGGUGGCGCCAUAAGUCAGGUGUGAAAUCUCGGGGCUCAACCCCGAAACUGCAUUUGAUACUGUGGUGCUCGAGUACUGGAGAGGAGAUUGGAAUUUACGGUGUAGCAGUGAAAUGCGUAGAUAUCGUAAGGAAGACCAGUGGCGAAGGCGAAUCUCUGGACAGUUACUGACACUGAGGCACGAAGGCCAGGGGAGCAAACAGG